GGAGGAUGGUCAUGUCUUGUUCUUUGCAAGGAGCUGACAUCAUUUGUUUGAUGCAUGCACCCCACCCCAACUCUUGCAGAGCCUGCUUCGAGGUCUGAGCUCAGUCCCAUGGGCCCCGAUCUGGCCUCAGUCCUCAGCACAGCAUCCAUUUCUCAUCAUUCUCAUCCAUCUCAUCACAAUCAUCAUUUCUGAUGAUUUCUCAUCAGCCAACUAGUGUGGAGACUCUCACGCCAUCCCUGGAUUCCACAGUCCCACGUUCACUGCAGCGUAUGAAGCGACAUUUUAGAUUUGUAGUGUUCUCUUGAAACGAUGACGCGUAUCUGAAAGGACAUGGGAGAUGUUCUCUUCAACAUGAGAAGUGGCAAGAAGAGGCCCAGUGGGAAUAGGGGUCAGGACCUGGAGCUGUCGCUGAAAUGGCAAGCCCUGGGGGACCCCCAGUACCCAGGAAAAGGUGUUCCACUGGUGAUGAUAACACAGAGCUUCCUUUGAGGAUACACUGCCUCACUUGAAAGAGCAACGGGUGAAAGCAGCCAGUCACAAAGGACCACGUAGUGUAUGCUCCCAUUUAUGUAACAUGUCCAGGAUAGGAAAUCCAGAGACAGAGGGCAGAUGAGCAGUUGUGUGGGGCUGGGGCCAGGGGGAGCACGAGUGAGAGCUCAUGGGCCCGGGGGUUCCUUUUAGGGUGACAGGAGGGGAUGGUUACACAACAUCAUGAAUGUCCUGAAUAUCUCACAUGUCCCAAAUCCUACCCAACUAUACACCUUAAAAUUGUAAAAACAGUACAUUUUACAUUGAUUCUACAAUAAUAAAAACAACGACGACAACAAAGUGGUGACUGAAGUGUUCAGAGAUGUUGGGUAAAUAACAGCAAGGGCCUCGGGGGUGUGAUCCUGGUGGGGUGAGUGCGUGGCGGGCACUGGCUGGACCCGCAGCCCAUCCCUGGUGGGUGUGCGCCCACAGUGUCUCCCAUCACCGUGUGGCUGUGCCAGCCCUGCCCUGGGUUCCUAGCUGGACCCCUUUGAU
rnacentral:lncRNA from 1 species